rnacentral:lncRNA from 10 species
CUUUUACAAGUUUUUCUCCAGUGGUAAAGACCUUUUUCCCUCUCUUGCCUCCACUCCUAUCCCUGACUGCUCCAAUCCCAAUAUAUUUUCUUAAAGCCUUGACCCUUGUUGACUAUGUCUUUCCUCCUUACAUGAGACAGGAAGACUGGAGGGAGCUUCAGUGGGAAGAAUAUCCUUCCCCCAAUUGGGAUAAAGUUCUGAAAGAUUCUUUCCCCAUGGAGCAUAGGCCAUUGUUAGGGAGAGGUCUCUGGGUAUAUUUCCCAUUGGGAUAUUUCUGGGUAUAUUUCUCACUCUUCCUCUUCUCUUCCAGAGCUACCAGGGGAUCUUCCUUCGCCCUUCACUGUGAGAACCUGCUGAGGUCCCUGAAAAUACAGUCCGUGAAAGUGCAGGGGCCACCUGAGACUGUGAUUCCCAGGAGUUUCUCAUUCAAGUCCAUACUCAGCCUCCAACAAAAUUUAUCAAAUUUACUGUGUAAAGGUUCUGUCUACUUUAUGGCUUGAGUACCUUCUGCUUCAGCUUACAGAAAUGAUGCCAUAGAAAAACAAGCACAUUCAAGAUAUGGGACAUGCUGUGUGUCUACCAUUCUAGACUUCUCCAAAUUGCAGUGCCAUAAAUGAGGAUGGGGAUAUUCUAAAUUUUGAAACAAGGACUAAAGAGACAUAACCAAAUGCAACGGGUAAACCUUGACUGGAUCUUGAAUUAAAAAGUCAUUUUAAAGACAACUGGUGAAAUUUUAAAUUUAAGUAUUAGCUGAUACUAUGGAAUUAUUGCUAAUGUACAUGUGGUUAUAUAGGAUAGUGUCCUUAUCCUUUGGAAACACAUAUUGAAAUAUUAGGGUUGAAAUAUUAAUACAUGAUGUCUGAAGCUUACUUUCAAAUGCUUUCAAUGAAAAUAUUUGGUCAAACACUAUUCUAGAUGUUUCUGUGAAAGUAGUUUUUGAUGAGAUUAACAUUUAAACCACUAUACGAAUGUUAAAUUUCUCUAUAUAUGUUUCCAUAGUUAUCUAUGUUUCUCUCUCUCUCCAUAGAUAUGAGAUAGAUAAAUAUAAGUUUUGUUUCUCUGGGGAACUCUAAUACAAUACCCUUCUUUCAACUUUUCAGUAUGUUUGAAAUUUUUUCUAAUGAAAAGUUAGGGAAAAAAUUUAAUUCAGAUAAUUUUUUAAAAACAUUCAGGAGUUUUUAAAAACAUUUUCCUGAUCUAGCCAAUGCUGACAUUCAGGAGUUAAGUGCGUUAUUUUGUAGCUCAUAGCUAUUCUUCUAGGAGAGAAAAUUAGUCUUAAUGGAGAAUAGUCUGAGGAGCCUAGCCAACUAAAAAUAAGCAUCACCUGUUAGUUUGCAAAUAUUUUUGAGAAUUUAUUGUCUUAGUGGCUAUGCUCAGUCCUGGGAAAAGAGUGGUAAGCCACCCAGAAGUAGUCCUUUCUAACUUCUUCCUGUGUCACUGUGUGUCCCAUACUUGGCAAGCCAAGUUCAUUUGGGUCAAAGUAGAACACAUCUAACUAGUUCUUGAUUUUAAGAGAAUCUACAGGUUUUCUGAUCAGGGAGCCUGUAUUGAUGAUAUAGCCACUUCGGUGAAAGCCAACAGUGACAGCUUCAUAUUUCAAAAGUCAGACAACUCCAGUGAACAUGAUAUAAACUCUUUUCUUCCUCUGUUU